rnacentral:rRNA from 1 species
AAUCAACGCUGGCGGCGCGCCUAACACAUGCAAGUCGAGCGAGAACCAGGGCUUCGGCCCUGGGGACAGCGGCGAACGGGUGAGUAACACGUGAGCAAUCCACCCUCGGCACCGGGAUAGCCCGGGGAAACCCGGAUUAAUACCGGAUGGCCCGCCCGCCCUUUGGGGUGGUCGGGAAAGGUAGCUUCGGCCUCUGGCCGAGGACGAGCUCGCGGCGGAUUAGCUUGUUGGUGAGGUAACGGCUCACCAAGGCGACGAUCCGUAGCUGGUCUGAGAGGACGAUCAGCCACACUGGGACUGAGACACGGCCCAGACUCCUACGGGAGGCAGCAGUGGGGAAUCUUGCGCAAUGGGCGAAAGCCUGACGCAGCGACGCCGCGUGCGGGAAGAAGGCCU